CCGCCCCGCCUUCCCGCGAUGACCUCCGACCCCUCCCGCGGUGCCGCGAGUGACGGGCGGAGGGGGGCGGGGCCCGAGGCGCGACGGCGGCGGGAGCGCGGGUCGGCGCCGGAGAUGGCGGCAGCGAGUGCGGUCGGUGAGGUGAGCGCCGCCCCGCCGCCCCCCCCGGGCCUCUGCCCCGCUCUGCGGCGACCGGCGCGUCCGCCCGCCCGGGCGGGGCCUGCCCCGCCUCACGGCUUCCCCGGGGAACGGCGCCCCGCGCGCCGCCUGCUGCGCGCCCCCCGCGUCUGUGGAAAAACGGGCCCCUUUCCUCGUCCCUGCGCUUCCUGGGGACAACAGCCGACCCGCCGCCGUGCCGUAAUGCAACAUGCCUAAGGGGAAGUUGGUCUGCGGGGUCUCGGAAUGGAGAGAUGGAGAAAUAGUACACAAAAAAGAGAGAACAGGAUCAUCUGUCACAGAAUCAAGCACUGACAUUGAGAGCUCAGCAGUCAAAAACUUACUGAUUGUGCUUGGACUCAAGAGUCAUUUCAUUCCAGUGCUGAAAUCUACAGUCUCUGUAUAGGUGCAGCCCACCCAGAAAUAUCCUGAUAUCCCCAAACCAACGGAGUCUUGGAAGGCGACGCGGGAUGUAAUAUCCAUGAGAAAACAAAACAAAAGAAAAAACCCCCCAUCUUUCUCAGAGAAGUGAAAACUAGAAAAAAACCAAAAUCUAUUAAGAUGUUUUCUGUGAAUCAUGCUAAGAUACAGAUGGGCCUUGGGAAUGACGAAGAAAAUUAUGUCCAUGGUAUAGUCUAUAGAAACCAAAAUAAGGGCUUUUAAUGAUUUUUUUUAGUUUUCAGUUUUACAGGCUGGUCCAGUGGCUUGAGGAAUUGCCAGCAACUCUGCAUCUGUGUUUAAUGCCUGUAGUCAAGGACUUCUACCAAAGUGUCAAAAUAUACUUUGAUCACAAUAACUUGAGGUGCUGCAGCAUGUUCAGCUCACUCCAAGUGCAAUGAUACCAAUUCUUGUCUAUCAGUUGGCAGUAAAUGAACCGAUAGGCAUGACUUCAUGUAAGAAUGGAAAGGUUAAUAUGAGAAGCAGUGAAUGCCAGGACAGUUUAUUUGCAGACCAGCAGCAUUAAACAGAUAUCCUGGAGUUCAAAUUUCUGCAGUGGGGCUUAACAUACCACGCUGAUCCGUUUCUCUUGGCUGAAGUGAUCAGCUGUUAUUAUCAAAAUGUAAAGUUCCAAUCAUGUUGGAUCUGCCUGUUCUCUGGUGUUGCAUAUGUGAUAGCAGUACUUCUAACAUAUUUUUCCAGCAAAAUAGUUAACCCAUCAACAGCUGAAUGGAUGCUGUGUAGCUAAGACUAGAUUUUAUGAGAAUUACAUACAAGAGACCUUUCUGAAAUGUACCAGUGCCAGUAGCUAGACCAUUCUCAGGACAGCUCCUCAAAGAAACUUUGCUGUUUCUCUUUUCAUUUACCCCCAGGGCUAGUGCUCUGGGAUGUAAACUGAUUAGGUCCUCCCACCCCUACAGAGUUUUACUCAGAUGCUACUUCUGUCUCAACAAAACUAAUCCAGUUCUGCUAAGGAAGCCUUUCUGUGUGCAGACAGUAGCAAAAUAGACAGGGGUAAGACAUUAAUUUUGGAUUCUACCUCCUUUGAAGUGCUCAUGUUUGGAGCCUUUGUUAUCAGAGUUCAGAAUUCUUACCUAAACGCAGGAGCUUAGUGACUGAAGUCCCUAAAUCCAAAGCCUGGUUCAAAAUGGUAUAGGUUCCUCAUUUAGGCAUAUCAGUUAAGUGCUUAAUGAUAGGUGGGAUGAAGUGAGGUAUACUUGGGUGAAGUACACAUUGGGGUUCUUAUUUUGUUUUCUAGGUUUUAUCAUAUCUAAUGGGCAACGGAAAUGAUCCUAUAACAUUUCAAAACUUACUUUAAUGAAUUAAUAAAACUUUAAAGAGCUAAUGAUAAGGAAAGGAGUAGUCUACAUUUUCUCCUUCAGUACUUGAAACUCAAACAGCAUAGCAUUACAUUGCAAAACAAUGAAAUGGACCGAAGUUGAUGUAAAUCAUAAUAAGCAACAUUGCAAAGGAAAGAAAAUUAAUAGGUUGGAAAGACCGUUUAAGGCAUUAUAAGUACAUAACGUAACAUAAUUUGUUAUAAUUCCUUAAAAUAUUUUCUUAGUUUUGCCCACAAAUUUUUAGCCUCUUCUGGAAUUAUUUAGCUGGAAUAUCAGAUAUAAGACAAAUUAAUAAACAGACUUUUAAAGUGAGUGGAAUUUAGCAAACCUACCCCCAUGCUGUUAGAAUUCACAUGGUACUUGGCCAAGCGCAGGGCCAAGUCUAUACAAGAAGUGCUUUGGCAGUACAAACAUAUCAGGAUACUGUGGGGAUAAAUCUAGCAGUGAUGUUAAUGGUGAAGGUCUGAAGCAAUGAAUCUGCUGAAUUUGCCCAAACAGCUUAGAGGUACGGCUCCAUGACAUGAGGUGUCUAUCAUCCCCCUCCCUGAUACAUUCACACCCGUGUGGUACCAGCACAGCACUCCUAGGAUGAACCACUAGAACUGCUUUCCUGGCAAUUCUUUCUAGCUACCUGUAAAGUAUAGUUUUGUCUUUAUAAUGUUAACCACAAUAAGAAAUUUUGCCAGCAUAGCUAUAUCAAUCAGAGAUCAUACCACAUCACAAGUUUUGUUAAGCAUAGAACCGAACUAUUUAACAAUAAGACUGCUGUAUGACAUCUUCACUGACCGACCCAUUGUAAAUUACAUUUAAUUCAGUGGACUUUGGAUUUACAGCAAUAUGAGUCAGAGUCAAAUAUAGCCCAAGGAGAUCCAUUUUGAGCUUUCUUAUAACUGAUGUAUCUGCUAAAAGAUUCAAAUAGUUGAUUCCCCUCCAGUUCUCUAAAUGUUUUCUAGAAUUCAUUAAUUUGUAUGUAUUUAUUUUAUUUUGCUUUGUUUUAUUUUAAAGGAACUGGGACAGACCAUCAACUGAAGUAAACAUAUAAAGAGAGGGUUUGGUGUCCCUUGUACAAAUCUGUUUGUUCACCUCCAGUAUCUGCAGUAAAGAGCAAGUGUAUUCC